UACGAAGGGGGCUAGCGUUGUCCGGAAUUAUUGGGCGUAAAGAGCUCGUAGGCGGUCUGUCGCGUCGAAUGUGAAAAUCCGGGGCUCAACUCCGGACCUGCAUUCGAUACGGGCAGACUAGAGUUCGGUAGGGGAGACUGGAAUUCCUGGUGUAGCGGUGAAAUGCGCAGAUAUCAGGAGGAACACCGGUGGCGAAGGCGGCCCGCUGGGCUGUUGCUGACGCUGAGGCGCGACAGCGUGGGGAGCAAACAGG
rnacentral:rRNA from 1 species